AAGUUUACCUGUUCCGUAUCUGAGUUCAAGUCCUGGAUAUCGAUGUUAACUUUCUGUCUCAUUGAUCUGUCUAAUAUUGAUGUUGAAGUCUCCCACUAUUAUUGUGUGGGGGUCUAAGUCUCCUUAUAAAUCUUAUAUAUCUGAGUAUUCCUGUACUGGGUGCGUAUAUAUUUAGGAUCUUUAGCUCUUCUUGUUACAUUGAUCCUUUUAUCAUUAUGUAAUAUCCUUCUUUGCUUCUUUUGAUUUUUGCUGCUUUAA